UACGGAGGAUGCGAGCGUUAUCCGGAUUUACUGGGUGUAAAGGGUGCGUAGACGGGAAAUUAAGUUAGUUGUGAAAUCCCUCGGCUUAACUGAGGAACUGCAACUAAAACUGAUUUUCUUGAGUACUGGAGAGGUGAGUGGAAUUCCUAGUGUAGCGGUGGAAUGCGUAGAUAUUAGGAGGAACACCAGAGGCGAAGGCGACUCACUGGACUGUAACUGACGCUGAGGCUCGAAAGCGUGGGGAGCAAACAGG
rnacentral:rRNA from 1 species